rnacentral:rRNA from 1 species
UACGUAGGGGGCAAGCGUUGUCCGGAAUCAUUGGGCGUAAAGCGCGUGUAGGCGGCCCGGUAAGUCCGCUGUGAAAGUCCAGGGCUCAACCCUGGGAUGCCGGUGGAUACUGUCGGGCUCGAGUCCGGAAGAGGCGAGUGGAAUUCCUGGUGUAGCGGUGAAAUGCGCAGAUAUCAGGAGGAACACCGGUGGCGAAGGCGGGUCUCUGGGCCGGUACCGGACGCUGAGGAGCGAAAGCGUGGGGAGCGAACAGG